UUUUCCAGAAAAGAAGGGAAAACACAAAAAAACCCUAAACCCGUUUCAUUUUCCUCUUCUGGUCGCUCCCUCCCUUUGAAAAGAAAGAAACAGAGCCGCCCUCCCUAGCUUAGGAUUUUCGCUCCCGUGAACCAGCAGAAGCCUUCCUCUUCUCCAUCCAACAGCCCCGCUCACUGCCCCUGCACUCUCCUUUCUCUGCCGCCAGCCAAACAAACCAUUCCCCCAUCUUCUUCUCCCAAGUCAGCCACCAGCGAGCCCCUCCAUUUCUCCAUCUCAGCCACUUACCCCACAGACACCCGACCACAGCACCAACACUCCCUUCUCCCCAAUUCCAGCCUUUUCCCUUCGGUUUCAUUUUCCCUCCUCGCCAGCCAAAAGCUUUCCUUUCCCCUCAGCCCCAAAACAAACCCAAACCGGCCAUUUCCAGUUUCUGGUCCCAUAGCCGGCCAUCAACACAAACUCUCAGUCUCUCCCACCAGCCGUCCCGUCUCUUCCCUCAUCUCUCUCAACAGACUCAACUGCUGCCGUCUUCCCUCUCAUCUUCCCUCUCCUGGCCAACCACAGGCCCCCAGCCAUUUCUUCCCCUGCACUCGAAGCAGCCCUCUCUGUCAACUUAGCCCCAGACCGGCCUCCACCGAGUCCCACAACAGCAGCAACCAUUUCUUCUUAGCAGAGACAAGACAGACGCGAAUGAGAGGAAGGGCUAGCAGAAGGAAAGAAGAUAAACAGACGAAGACACAGAGAGACCAACCAGCACGCCUUCACCAUCGCCUGUGUCCCUUCGUUCCGUCUCCAGUUUCUUCUCCUCAAGUGGUGCAACUUUUGUUUUUCUUCCACAGGAACAGGUAUUAGCCGAAGCAGCAGCCCAGCAAUGAGACCAGUUGUUUCAUCCCAGUCGACGCCACCCACCAGCUUCAUCCCCGCACCAGAACCGGUUACUGGUUUGAGCCAGUAACCGGGUUGAGCUUGGAAAUAAAUCCCCGAGCACCAGCUUCGUCCAUGCACCAGGUCGUUGGUGAUGCAGUCGAUAAAACUGUAGAAUAAAUCCCGAUGAUGGCCCUGCCUCUUCGAGCGGGUUUCACAGCGGAAUCAAUUCACCCGCAAGUACCAAGCACUUUGGAAGGACAACUUUUCAAUAUUCACAAACAUUAAGGCCGCCUGAGUAAUAACAUCGACGCUCAAAUCAUCGAUGGAGAUUCUAUUAUUUCAAUGGAAUCAGGUUUCCAAACAUCCUAAAUGGAGACCUUAUAUCGAUGCAUGGUUUCGAAGAUUUCAGAUUGGUGUUAAGUUCCGAUUUCCAGCUUAUUUUUAAUAAAUUAUUAUUUUUUUUAAAUAAAUUAUUUAUACACAUCACAAAUUCGAGUGGGACAGCGCAUAUGAAAAUGUUGUAAGGAGGGUGUGGGAAAAUCAUGCGGCAAGUAGGUAACAUAAAAAACAAUAAGAUAGUUUUUAGAAACAAUUUAUUGUGUGAUUUUAAUAUCUAA